UUUCCGUAGGUGAACCUGCGGAAGGAUCAUUAC
rnacentral:ncRNA from 27 species